CGAGAGGACACCAGCCGUGCUCCUGCGGGCGGCUUGCGAUUCCCAAGAUGUCCGGAGAGACGAUAAACAAAAGUCUUUUGUGCCUUAUGAAAUAAGCUUUCUUCACCCUCUGCACGAGCUGUUGCCUUAAGAAAUGAAACCUGAUUAUUUUCUGCGUUUGGUUGUAUACCCCAUUUGGACUGGCGCUAAUGACUGGCUGACAUGUCGAUAAUGUGGAAUUUUCCAAUAGUGAACAUCUGAAAUCCGGGUCACGUGUUUUCCAAGAGCUCGUCUUCCAAUGGUGGAAUAAAAGAAGGGCUAUGUUAAUCAAA